rnacentral:lncRNA from 1 species
AUGCUUGAGUCCUUGAUAGUUUACAAUUUACAGUUCUUACUAUGUCGUGACUCUGUGGUGGGAUCACAAACUGAACUGAGUGGGUUCUCCUGGCUCCUGCACCUGGGUGGACCCAGCUGUUGCAGCUGCCUGUGGACAGGCCAGGGGUGGGAGUGGGGGAGGGCAGUUGGUAGGCACUUCAGGUGGAUGAUUUGGUUCAUGACUUGUGCUUUUUCUUGUUUUGCCUGCAGAUGGCAGCACGCCCUGGACUUGUCUGCACCGCAAGCGGCCCUGAGGAGGGACAGCAGGGAGACAAGAAAAUGGACUCCCCUCUGCAACCUGCAAUGUACCAGGGUUUGCAGCCUAUUGGAGGAAAACAACAUCAAGCCUGGCAGGAUCCACGCUCAAGAGCAGGAUUUCCCAAGCAAAUACAGCCUGCUGGGAAAGGGAGCCAGUGACUGGUGACUCCCAAAGAUUUACUUGCCAGCUCCUAUCCCCACCCCCACCCACAUCAAUGAGGUGCCAAUUUAUUCAGCAUUUCUUGGGGCAGGGAUCAUCCACCUAAGUGAAUUCUCCAAGUAAUCAAACUCAGUCCCAUCACGUUGCAAUGUUUAAUUAAUUUGUUUUAUCAAAAUCAUGCAUGCAUAUGGUUUGUAUAUCAACAGUACAGGAAGCUUGUAAUAAGGAUUGCCUCCUUACCUUUCUUGGUGCUUCUCUCUCUCUAGAGAAGCCUCUUUCUACUCUUCAUUAGUUCCUAUUUCUGUUCAUACUGUUAUUUCUUGAUUUGCCAAUUUUAGACAUCUGUUGACUUCUUGUGGGAGACAAAAAUUAAGCUUUCCUACAAAGCUGCUUCCAGUUCUCCUCCCUCCAUCUCCCAGUAAGAAGAUAACAUGAUUUUUGGUUGACUCAGUAGUGACUGCAGACACAUUAUUCGCUGCUGAACUAAGUGGUGUGUUACGUGUCCUUGAGGUCUCGGGGGAAAAUAUCUUACAUCUUUGAUCAUUUUCUCCCCUUUGUUUUACCUGUUGGUAAACUGCCAACUGCUAUUACCAGUUGGUAAACUGGUAAAUUGGUAACUGGAUUACUCUUCUGAUAUUCUUAUAUUUUUUAUUUCCCUUCCCUUUGCCUUUUGGGUCUACUUUCUUGGGAAACUUUACUUGACUUUAUCCUCCAACCAUUCUGCUGAUUUUGUCUUAAUUGUGGCCUUCAUAUUUUUAAUAUACAAAUAUUCAUGUUUUCUGUGCCUUUUUUCAUAAUAUCACAUUCUUGUUCUAUAGAUAUGCUAUUGCCCUCUUAUCUCUCUGAAGGAGUUAUUUCUUUUUCUUUUGUUUAUUUGUUUUGUUUUAAUAUUCUUUUCUCUUUGUUGCCUUUAUAUCCACCUAGCUACUUUUUGUUUGUUUGUUUUCUCUCUUUCAUGUUGGAGGCUUUCCUCAAAUGUCAUAUGUCGUGGCUGCCUGUUAAUAUUUAUGAAUGAUGCAAUAAAAAGUAUGAAUCAAACUGUGUGUUUGGGAAC